rnacentral:rRNA from 1 species
AUACGUAGGGGGCGAGCGUUGUCCGGAAUUACUGGGCGUAAAGGGCGCGUAGGCGGCCCAAUAAGUCUCCGGUGAAAUCUCCCGGCUUAACUGGGAGCGGUCCGGGGAAACUAUUGGGCUUGAGGACAGCAGAGGAGAGUGGAAUUCCCGGUGUAGUGGUGAAAUGCGUAGAUAUCGGGAGGAACACCAGUGGCGAAGGCGGCUCUCUGGGCUGUACCUGACGCUGAGGCGCGAAAGCGUGGGGAGCAAACCGGAUUAGAAACCCCAGUAGUCC